rnacentral:rRNA from 1 species
AGUUUGAUCCUGGCUCAGGAUGAACGCUGGCGGCGUGCCUAACACAUGCAAGUCGAACGGGGCGCGCCGAUGGAAACUUUUCGGAGCGGAAAUUGGCGCUGCCUAGUGGCGGACGGGUGAGUAACGCGUGAGCAACCUGGCCCUGCACUGGGGGACAACAGCUGGAAACGGCUGCUAAUACCGCAUAGGCGCACAGCCCCGCAUGGGGCGGUGUGGAAAGUAAUAUGGUGCAGGAUGGGCUCGCGUCUGAUUAGCUUGUUGGCGGGGUAACGGCCCACCAAGGCGACGAUCAGUAGCCGGCCUGAGAGGGUGGACGGCCACAUUGGGACUGAGACACGGCCCAGACUCCUACGGGAGGCAGCAGGUGGGGGAUAUUGCACAAUGGGGGGAACCCUGAUGCAGCGACGCCGCGUGGGCGAUGGAGUACUUCGGUAUGUAAAGCCCUAUCAGCAGGGAAGAAAAUGACGGUACCUGACUAAGAAGCCCCGGCUAAAUACGUG